rnacentral:rRNA from 1 species
UACGUAGGGUGUGAGCGUUGUCCGGAAUCACUGGGCGUAAAGGGCGCGUAGGUGGCGCGACAAAUCAGUGGUGAAAGUUCGACGCUCAACGUCGAAUCGGCCACUGAUACUGUUGGGGCUUGAGCACUGUAGAGGCUAAUGGAAUUCCGGGGUGUAGCGGUGGAAUGCGUAGAGAUCCGGAAGAACACCGGUGGCGAAGGCGGUUAGCUGGGGCAGUUGCUGACACUGAGGCGCGACAGCGUGGGGAGCAAACAGGG